GGUUCUCGUUAGAUCACCGAAGUCAAGCAUCAUUGGGCGCGGUCAGUACUUGGGUGGGUGACCACCUGGGAACACCGCGUGCCGUU